UACGGGGGGGGCAAGCGUUGUUCGGAAUUACUGGGCGUAAAGGGCUCGUAGGCGGCCAACUAAGUCAGACGUGAAAUCCCUCGGCUUAACCUGGGAACUGCAUCCGAUACUGGUCGGCUUGAAUCCGGGAGAGGGAUGCAGAAUUCCAGGUGUAGCGGUGAAAUGCGCAGAUAUCAGGAGGAACACCAAUGGCGAAGGCAGCUCGCUGGGACGUGACUGACGCUGAGACGCGAAAGCGUGGGGAGCAAACAGG
rnacentral:rRNA from 1 species